rnacentral:rRNA from 1 species
GCAGGCCCUACCAAUUGCAAGUUCGAGCGGUAGCACAGAGAGCUUGCUCUCGGGUGACGAGCGGCGGACGGGUGAGUAAUGUCUGGGAAACUGCCUGAUGGAGGGGGAUAACUACUGGAAACGGUAGCUAAUACCGCAUAAUGUCGCAAGACCAAAGUGGGGGACCUUCGGGCCUCAUGCCAUCAGAUGUGUCCAGAUGGGAUUCGCUAGUAGGUGGGGUAACGGCUCACCUAUCCGACGAUCCCUAGCUGUUCUGAGAGGAUGACCAGCCACAGUCGAACUGAGACACGGUCCAGACUCCGAGCGGAGGCAGCAGUGGGGAGAAUUGCGCAAUGGGCGCAAGCCUGAUGAUGCAGCCAUGCCGCGUGUGUGAAGAAGGCCUUCGGGUUGUAAAGCACUUUC